rnacentral:rRNA from 1 species
GAUGAACGCUGGCGGCGUGCCUAAUACAUGCAAGUCGAGCGAACAGAUGAGGAGCUUGCUCCUCUGACGUUAGCGGCGGACGGGUGAGUAACACGUGGAUAACCUACCUAUAAGACUGGGAUAACUUCGGGAAACCGGAGCUAAUACCGGAUAAUAUAUUGAACCGCAUGGUUCAAUAGUGAAAGACGGUUUUGCUGUCACUUAUAGAUGGAUCCGCGCCGCAUUAGCUAGUUGGUAAGGUAACGGCUUACCAAGGCAACGAUGCGUAGCCGACCUGAGAGGGUGAUCGGCCACACUGGAACUGAGACACGGUCCAGACCCCUACGGGAGGCAGCAGUAGGGAAUCUUCCGCAAAGGGCGAAAGCCUGACGGAGCAACGCCGCGUGAGUGAUGAAGGUCUUCGGAUCGUAAAACUCUGUUAUUAGGGAAGAACAAAUGUGUAAGUAACUAUGCACGUCUUGACGGUACCUAAUCAGAAAGCCACGGCUAACUACGUG